UCUAGUGUAUAUUAGAUUGUCUGUUGUAAAUCCUGCCCACUUGUUUGCAUUGUCACACAUGCUUCAGUGCUCUGAGAGUGUUUAUAGUGCUGUGAGUUUAACACUUCAUGACUGAGAGCAGAACAGAACACAAUCUUCAUCAUCACACAAGACAAAAGAACAACAAUGAACACAAUCACCUUCUUCAUCUGGACUCUCACACUGUUUAUUCAAGAGUGUAGAGGACAGAUCACUGUAACUCAGAGUCCAUCAACAAUAACAGCUGUUCAACCAGGACAAGAAGUCAGAAUAAACUGUAAAACCAGCAGUGCAGUGUGGGGUGGUAACGAGUUAGCCUGGUACUUACAGAAACCUGGAGAAGCUCCCAAACUCCUCAUAUAUGCAGCAACAACCCGUUAUACUGGAACUCCAUCUAGAUUCAGUGGCAGUGGAUCUAACAGUGAUUUCACUCUGACCAUCAGUGGAGUCCAGACUGAAGAUACAGGAGAUUAUUACUGUCAGAGUGGACACAGUGGUCCAGUGUUCACACAGUGAUAAAGAGUGGUACAAAAACCUCGGUCAGUCAGACGUCACAGUGAUGCACUGAUACAGCUGAGAGAUACUGCAGCUGCUCAUACAACACAAUCACACACAACACUGAUCAGUGAUGGAAGGGGUUCAUUAUAAAAGACCACUACCUUAAACAGUUGUAUUUUCUGCAGAAUUAACAAACUUCAAUCUUUACUUAUUCAUUUGGAAGACACUUUUUUCUGACCUGAAAUGAGGAUCUACACAAGCAUUUGAUCAUCAGUGAGUCAGAAAUACUGCUCAUGUCUCUGUGUUUGAAUGUAAUAAUAUAAAUGAGAUGAUUAACUACAAUCUGGUUAUUAUCAAACCUUUCAUUUCUCAACAUCUGGAAAAGCCUCAUCACACUAAUUCAUAGAAAAAUUAGACCUCGAUAACUACAUCAAGUCUAGGCAAACGUUUCUACAACAUCCUAAACAACUUUUUCACAGACAGAAAUAUCCAAAUUGGCUUCCAAACAAAAUAUCAUGCUUGAGACCAUAA